rnacentral:rRNA from 1 species
UACGGAGGGUGCAAACGUUGCUCGGAAUCAUUGGGCGUAAAGCGCACGUAGGCGGCCUGAUAAGUCGGAUGUGAAAGCCCUGGGCUCAACCCAGGAAGUGCAUUCGAAACUGUCAGGCUUGAAUGUGGAAGAGGGUCGCGGAAUUCCCGGUGUAGAGGUGAAAUUCGUAGAUAUCGGGAGGAACACCAGUGGCGAAGGCGGCGACCUGGGCCAAUAUUGACGCUGAGGUGCGAAAGCGUGGGGAGCAAACAGG